rnacentral:rRNA from 1 species
GACGAACGCUGGCGGCGUGCUUAACACAUGCAAGUCGAACGGAAAGGCCCUGCUUUUGUGGGGUGCUCGAGUGGCGAACGGGUGAGUAACACGUGAGUAACCUGCCCUUGUCUUUGGGAUAACUUCAGGAAACUGGGGCUCAUACCGGAUAGGAGCUCCUGCUGCAUGGUGGGGGUUGGAAAGUUUCGGCGGUUGGGGAUGGACUCGCGGCUUAUCAGCUUGUUGGUGGGGUAGUGGCUUACCAAGGCUUUGACGGGUAGCCGGCCUGGGAGGGUGACCGGCCACAAUGGGACUGAGAUACGGCCCAGACGCCUACGGGAGGCAGCAGGGGGGAAUAUGGCACAAUGGGCGGGAGCCUGAUGCAGCAGCGCCGCGUGCGGGAUGACGGCCUUCGAGUUGUAAACCGCUUUCGCCUGUGACGAAGCGUGAGUGACGGUAAUUGGUAAAGAAGCACCGGCUAACUACGUG